rnacentral:misc_RNA from 1 species
AAAAUUAUAACUAUACGCUAGCGCUUUCUGAGCUCCUUUUUCGGUGGCGUGCUUCAUUUGAGCAACCACCAUCGGAAAGCUGAGAGGUGUUCGUUUCGCAUCCCCUUCCUCUCCCUAACCUUGCGCUUUUCUGUUUUGUCUCCCUCCCACUCUUUUUGUUCUGUUGUACUCCCGCGCGUCUCCGUUUGUGUUCCUCCCUUUUCUUCCCCUUGCUGGCCUCUUUCGGGCUUCGCUUGGUUGGUGGUGACCCCCUCCCCUCUCUCCUGUGCUAUUAUCAUCUCCGUAAUCUUUCGUGUUUUUCUGCCAUUUAUCCCUCUUUCCUCAUCUGCGCAUUUUUGUCUUGCUGUGGAACGGUACUUCUGCUGCUGCUGAGCGUGUUUCUCUUCCUUCCCUUUGUGUGUGUGCGUGUCUGCGCGCGCGUGUACUUUGCGAAUCUCCAUGACACAGGACGAAGCGCCCGCCGCCAGUUCUAGCGGCAAGGGCAACUGGGAGGCCCUGAAGGAGCAGGGCAAUCAGGCGUUCAAGUCGAACGCAUUCGCGGAGGCGAUUCAGCACUAUAGCGCCGCCAUCGAGGCCCAUCCAGAUGAACCGGUGCUCUACUCGAACCGCAGUGCGGCAUACUUGAAGAGGGGGCAAUACCAGGAAGCCGCUCACGACGCGGAGAAGGCGGUGACAAUGGAUAGAACAUUUGCGAAGGCGUACUCGCGGCUGCACAGCGCCUUGUGUAAUCUAGGCUUGUUUGACCGCGCCUCGGAGGCGCUGAAGGCGGGUCUGACGGCCGUGUCGACGUCGCCAAAGGCCACGCCACAGGACGUGAAGCACCUCAGGGAGUUGUUGAAUAGUGCGGAGCAGGCCAGCAAAGUUGUGCCGCGCGGGCGGCAGCUGAUAGAGACCGGCUGCUUUGCAGAGGCCGGCCGCGCACUCGCCGGCCCGUAUCGCGACUUUCCUGGCUCCUCGACACUGGCGUUUCUCUACGCAGAGGCGCACGCGCCUUCGUCGCCGGAUGAGGCAUCCAGAGUCCUCUCCCCCUUCGCGUACACGCACAGCUCCGACCCUUACUACCUCUAUCUACGUGCACUGGUGCUAUACUACCGCGGCCAGGAAGGCUUCUCCAGCGCGCAGAAUAUUUUGCGAGAGACGCUACAGAUGGACCCCGACAACACCAAAGCGCGUAUCUUGCUCAAGCGCAUCCGUGCUGUUGAGUCACACAAGGACGCCGGCAACGUCGCCUUCAAGAACAAGAACGCCAAGGUGGCCGUCGAUGAGUACACUCAGGCGGUCGAGUGCGACCCGACCAACGCCCGCAUGAAUGCUACGCUGCGCAGCAACCGGGCAGCGGCGAAGAUGGACUUGAACGACUACAAGGGUGCUCUCCUCGACUGCGACUACGCCAUCAGCAACGGCGCCACUUCUGCGAAAAUCUACGCUCGCCGCAGCCGCAUUCAAGAGCAGCUGGAGAACUUCGAUGAGGCGGUGCGGGACAUGCAGCAGGCCGCCGAGGAGGAUAACCAGUUCGUAGCGGAGCUGCGCCAGCUGAAGGCGCGCGCCAAGCGUGCGAAGCGCAAGGACUACUACAAAAUACUCGGUCUUCCUCAACACGAGUCUAACCAGGAUGCCAUCAAGCGGGCUUACAAGAAAGCGUGUUUGCAGUGGCACCCAGACAAGUGGGCGCACGCAAGCGAAGAAGAGAAGUCGCAUGCGGAGACGCAGUUCAAGGAGAUUGGUGAGGCCUUUGGCGUCCUGUCUGACCCAAAGAAGAAGCGCAUGUACGACUCAGGUCAGAUGGACAAUGACGUGGAGGGGGCCAACAUGCCAAGCGGCUUUGGCGGCGGUGCGAGCCAGGAGGAUAUUGUCACUGUGAUGAACAUGAUGUUUGGCGGCGGUGGCUUCCAGGCGGGCGGCUUCCCAGGUGCCUUUGGAGGCGCAGGCAAUGGUCGCCGUCGCCCCCGCGGCGGUCCGGGCUUCUUUUGAGCGAACCGCGGGGAGGUGCCGAGGCCGAUGGGUAGUGGUACCAAUACGUUGUUGUUGACGCCGGUGUCGCGUCUUUCCCUCUUUCUCACAGUGUAAGUGUCGCGGACGAUCUCUGCGGUGCCGGUGCUUGAAAUCGAAAACGUAUCAACCAGGAUGUCUCUUGCGCGAUCUCUCUUUUGCCCUGUUGCUGCUGAUAGUUAAGAAGGGGGUGGCUCUUUCCUUUUUUGUGUUUGUGGUUUUACAAGUGGUGUGCGUUUAGUGGACUCUGCAUGGCUAGCGCGUGUCUAUGCCUUUCCGUUUUUCUUUUUUCUAUUUCUCACUCUCUCUUGUAUCUUAAACGUUUAUUAACUUGCGUGGGUUCAUUACCUGCUGCCCUGUCCACCUGCCUAACGCGGAGCGUUUUGCACGUUUGAUCGUGGACGUUGAUGACCGCUGUCGAUCAGGCUUGGGGGAUGGGAGGGUUUAUCCUUCCUGUGCGAGAAAGCCUUUGCUUCAAACUUUUACUCUCUUCGCUACCCCUCCGUUCUCUCGCGCUGUGCGGGUGAGGCCCUCGUUGUCUGCACGCGGCACACGCACCACCGAUUUCUCUUUCCUGCUCUCUGUCCGCUCCCCUUUCCUCGUUUUACCUUCGACGCGGUUGUGGAGGACACGAAAUGCAGAGGACAGGGGGGGGGCACGCACACGUACACAGCCACACGAGAGCAGCGUAUGGGCAGUAGGGCAGCCGGAAACAAUCAAAAAGCAAACAAACACGCUAAAGCAACCUUCCAUCCCGUGAAGGGCGCGCACGGGUGAACUUCUUUUGUUCUUGAACGGCGUCGAAGCGUGACGGCCUCUGUACUAAUUUAGACACCACACAGACGUAUAUAUCUAUAUAUUUGAGUGGGAGAAGGGUCUGCUUGUUUUGUUGUUGGUCUGUUUUCCGUGUGCGGCUGACCUGCACAGUGCAUGC